GACGAACCGUGCAAACGUUGUUCGGAAUCACUGGGCUUAAAGGGCGCGUAGGCGGGCAAGCAAGUCGAAGGUGAAAUCCCACGGCUCAACCGUGGAAGUGCCCCCGAUACUGCUUGUCUUGAGGGAGAUAGGGGCGUGCGGAACUUCCGGUGGAGCGGUGAAAUGCGUAGAUAUCGGAAGGAACACCGGUGGCGAAGGCGGGUCUCUGGGCCGAUACUGACGCUGAGGAGCGAAAGCGUGGGGAGCAAACAGG
rnacentral:rRNA from 1 species